UACGUAGGGUGCGAGCGUUAAUCGGAAUUACUGGGCGUAAAGCGUGCGCAGGCGGCGCCGCAAGUCAGGCGUGAAAUCCCCGAGCUUAACUUGGGAAUGGCGCUUGAAACUACGGUGCUGGAGUGUGGCAGAGGGAGGUGGAAUUCCACGUGUGGCGGUGAAAUGCGUAGAGAUGUGGAGGAACACCGAUGGCGAAGGCAGCCUCCUGGGCCAACACUGACGCUCAUGCACGAAAGCGUGGGGAGCAAACAGG
rnacentral:rRNA from 1 species